rnacentral:rRNA from 1 species
CCUACGGGUGACAGCAGUGAGGAAUAUUGGUCAAUGGACGAGAGUCUGAACCAGCCAAGUAGCGUGAAGGAUGACUGCCCUAUGGUUUGUAACCUUCUUUUAUAUGGGAAUAAAAUGUUCCACGUGUGGGAUUUUGUAUGUACCAUAUUAAUAAGGAUCGGCUAACUCCGUGCCAGCAGCCGCGGUAAUACGGAGGAUCCGAGCGUUAUCCGGAUUUAUUGUGUUUAAAGGGAGCGUAGGUGGAUUGUUAAGUCAGUUGUGAAAGUUUGCGGCUCAACCGUAAAAUUGCAGUUGAAACUGGCAGUCUUGAGUACAGUAGAGGUGGGCGGAAUUCGUGGUGUAGCGGUGAAAUGCUUAGAUAUCACGAAGAACUCCGAUUGCGAAGGCAGCUCACUGGACUGCAACUGACACUGAGGCUCGAAAGUGUGGGUAUCAAACAGGAUUAGAUACCCGUGUAGUC